AUACUUACCUGAACGGGUCAAUGGGUGAUCAUAAAGGCCCAUGGACUAGACUUGCGACCUCCACUGCAUUAGGGACGGGUGUUUGCCUAACAUCUCCGCAAGUGGGAGAGUGUACGUCAUUAUUUGUGGCAGAGGGGGAUACGCGUUCGCGUGGCCACUGU
rnacentral:snRNA from 1 species